rnacentral:rRNA from 1 species
UGGGGAAUAUUGCACAAUGGGCGCAAGCCUGAUGCAGCCAUGCCGCGUGUGUGAAGAAGGCCUUCGGGUUGUAAAGCACUUUCAGCGAGGAGGAAGGUGGUGAGCUUAAUACGCUCAUCAAUUGACGUUACUCGCAGAAGAAGCACCGGCUAACUCCGUGCCAGCAGCCGCGGUAAUACGGAGGGUGCAAGCGUUAAUCGGAAUUACUGGGCGUAAAGCGCACGCAGGCGGUUUGUUAAGUCAGAUGUGAAAUCCCCGGGCUCAACCUGGGAACUGCAUUUGAAACUGGCAAGCUAGAGUCUCGUAGAGGGGGGUAGAAUUCCAGGUGUAGCGGUGAAAUGCGUAGAGAUCUGGAGGAAUACCGGUGGCGAAGGCGGCCCCCUGGACGAAGACUGACGCUCAGGUGCGAAAGCGUGGGGAGCAAAACAGGAUUAGAUACCCCUGGUAGUCCACGCUGUAAAACGAUGUCGAUUUUGGAGGUUGUGCCCUUGAGGCGUGGCUUCCGGAGCUAACGCGUUAAAUCGACCGCCUGGGGAGUACGGCCGCAAGGUUAAAACUCAAAGGAAUUGACGGGGUCAUAGCUGUUUCCU